UGGUGUAUGAGAACAUGACCUUAUUCUUAGGAAAUAUAUACUGAAAUAUGGAAGAAUGGACUGUCAUGAUAGCUGCAAGUUUCAAGUGAUUCAGCAAAAGAUACAAUUAUAUAGAAGAAGAGGGAUUAGUAUGAUCCAAGGAUGUGUCAGUCAGUUUCACCUGGGUGGAGGGACAGUGGCUGGACUCAGCUUAGAAGGUCCUGUAUAGGGGAUGUGAUGCUGGAGACCUACAGCAAACUGGUUUCAGUGGGUGUCUUACAACCAAACCAGAUGUGAUCUCCCAGGUGGAACGAGGAGAAGAACCAUGGAUAAUAGAGGUGGCAUUCUCAAGCCAGAGCCUUCCAGCUGUACAUUCCGCCUUUGCUGUACUUCCCCAAAAGGAAAAGAACAAAUCCCA